UACGUAGGGGGCGAGCGUUGUCCGGAGUUACUGGGCGUAAAGGGCACGCAGGCGGUCGUGUAAGUUUGGGGUUACAGCUCCCGGCUCAACUGGGAGAGCGCCUUGAAGACUGCAGGACUUGAGGGCCAGAGAGGGACACAGAAUUCCGGGUGUAGUGGUGAAAUGCGUAGAUAUCCGGAGGAAUACCAAAGGCGAAGGCAGUGUCCUGGCUGGUUGCUGACGCUGAGGUGCGAAAGCCAGGGGAGCGAACGGG
rnacentral:rRNA from 1 species